rnacentral:lncRNA from 1 species
CAAAUAGUGUGAUACCACUCUCGUUAGAGGGAAUGUCGUCAUCCACUUGGAACAAUCCUCUUAUGUCUUUCUAGAUUAGAUAGGGAGGGGGAAACAAAUACUUCGAAGGGCAAGGGGAACAGAUACCCCUCAGAGAUGAAAAGCCUAACGAGACACUGGAUGCAAUAUGCUUGUCAAUACAAAUAUACUUCAGACCACACAGGGUUGAUUCUACUUUUCUUUUU